rnacentral:lncRNA from 1 species
CGGUGACCAAGAGGGGGCCCUCCCCCCUCCUCGGCGGGAGGGGGGGUGGUGAGCACGCCCCCGAGGACGCAGGUGUGAUUGCCUUCUUUACAGCACGGCACCGUGGAAGUGCAGACUUUCACAGGGGGUGUGGUCUCUGCUCACACAGGUACUCCAGAGGCUGGUGGACCUGAGCGGAGGCUGGGACGCCCUGGUGGGCCCCGGGCCCUGGAAGGCAGGUCCCGGUGGCUGGUGGCCCAGAAUGAGGCCAGCUCCCAGCAUGCCCUGCAGCCGGACACCAGCCACUCGGCCUGCAGCAACGGUGGUAAUAACCCAGUCAUUCUUCAGGCAUCCAGCAAGGAGCCUGGGAGUGGGACCAUGCAGAGCAGCCCCUCCCCUGCUCAUCCUCAGCUCCCAAUCC